UUUCCGUAGGUGAACCUGCGGAAGGAUCAUUAAUGAGUUGUCAUGGGGUUCGAUGCUGGCAGCCAAUUUUUGGAUGCAUGUGCUUGCCCUAACAAUCAUCUUCCAAACACCUGUGCACAUUUUUGAGGGAGUCUUGAGUUGGUUGCCGCUCUUGGGUGAUUUUCUCACAUUCCCUUAAAUCAUUAUACGCUAUUAACAAUGUUGAACGUGCUCUGUGCCGCAAGGCUAUUAAUAUAAUACAACUUUUAACAACGGAUCUCUUGGCUCUCGCAUCGAUGAAGAACGCGC
rnacentral:misc_RNA from 1 species